GAGUAAAGUCGUAACAAGGUUUCCGUAGGUGAACCUGCGGAAGGGAUCAUUAUCGUACAACGUGCGUCGAGGGCGUGCGAGGGCUGUCGCUGACUUUUUGUUGACGCAAAAGUCGUGCACGCCGGAGCGCGUCCUCUCGCAUAAAAUCCAUCUCACCCUUUUGUGCACCACCGCGUGGGCACCUUUUGGGAUCGAACCGAUCCUGGAGGGGGCUUGCGUUUUCACACAAACCCCUUUUAAAAAGUGUAGAAUGACCCCAUUUUGCGAUGACACGCAAUCAAUACAACUUUCAACAACGGAUCUCUUGGCUCUCGCAUCGAUGAAGAACGCAGCGAAAUGCGAUACGUAAUGUGAAUUGCAGAAUUCAGUGAAUCAUCGAAUCUUUGAACGCACCUUGCGCCCCUUGGUAUUCCGAGGGGCACACCCGUUUGAGUGUCGUGAAAUUCUCAACCUUCUCGGUUUUCUUCUGGACACCGAAGGAGGCUUGGACAUUGGAGGCCUUUGCUGGCGUCUCUUAGACCCAGCUCCUCUUAAAUGAAUUAGCGGGGUCCUCUUUGCCGAUCCUUGACAUGUGAUAAGAUGUUUCCAUGACUUGGUUUCUGGCUCUGUUGCAUUUGGGACCCGCUUCUAACCGUCUCGACGAGACAACGUUUGGGCGUGUCUCCCUUCUCGGGAGACUCUCUCAACCCCCACGAACCCUUGACCUCAAAUCGGGUGAGACUACCCGCUGAACUUAGC
rnacentral:rRNA from 1 species